rnacentral:rRNA from 1 species
GUGCAGCAGGCGAGAAACCUCCGCAAUACACGAAAGUGUGACGGGGCCAUCCCGAGUGCCGUCCGCUGAGGACGGCUUUUCCCCAGUGUACACAGCUGGGGGAAUAAGGAGAGGGCAAGCCUGGUGUCAGCCGCCGCGGUAAUACCAGCUCUCCGAGUGGUGGGGACGCUUAUUGGGCCUAAAGCAUCCGUAGCCGGCUGGGCAAGUCCUCCGUUAAAUCCAACGAUUCAAUCGUUGGGCUGCGGGGGAUACUGUCCAGCUUGGGGGCGGGAGAGGCCGACGGUAUUCCCGGGGUAGGGGUGAAAUCCUAUAAUCCCGGGAGGACCACCAGUGGCGAAGGCUGUCGGCUAGAACGCGCCCGACGGUAAGGGAUGAAAGCUGGGGGAGCGAACCGGAUUAGAUACCCCGUAGU